rnacentral:rRNA from 1 species
AGUGAACGCUGGCGGUAGGCCUAACACAUGCCAGUCGAACGGCAGCACAGUAAGAGCUUGCUCUUACGGGUGGCGAGUGGCGGACGGGUGAGGAAUACAUCGGAAUCUACUUUUUCGUAGGGGAUAACGUAGGGAAACUUACGCUAAUACCGCAUACGACCUACGGGUGAAAGCAGGGGAUCUUCGGACCUUGCGCGAUUGAAUGAGCCGAUGUCGGAUUAGCUAGUUGGCGGGGUAAAGGCCCACCAAGGCGACGAUCCGUAGCUGGUCUGAGAGGAUGAUCAGCCACACUGGAACUGAGACACGGUCCAGACUCCUACGGGAGGCAGCAGUGGGGAAUAUUGGACAAUGGGCGCAAGCCUGAUCCAGCCAUACCGCGUGGGUGAAGAAGGCCUUCGGGUUGUAAAGCCCUUUUGUUGGGAAAGAAAAGCAGCAGGUUAAUACCCCGCUGUUCUGACGGUACCCAAAGAAUAAGCACCGGCUAACUUCGUG